CCAAUUAUAAAUUUUAUUCGUUUAACCAUCAAAGUAAUUUUCCUUUUUCCAGUUUUAAUUACAUUUGCAUAUUGUGCUACCUGAAACAUAAUACUACGAAAAAUAAAGUACUGAUGAUGCCAGUGAUGCCAGCAAUUACUAUGUUUCAGUGAAUUCAGUCGAAUUUAUGGAAAACUGAAUGAAACCAAUAACCAUACGAGUAUGGAGUUUUUUUGGGACAAUACGCUGUCCCAUGAUUGCAUGAGCUACACGUUCAACGCCAUAAUAGCCAUCAUUCUGCUGUGGCAACUCCAGACGAUCAUGUACCUCAGCCUAUACAUGUGAUUGUCAAUUACUUUGUUCCAUCAUGUUCCAUGGAUUAUUGGUGGUGCUGAGUGACAUCUUUGAACAAUUCUUCGAAAGGAUUUUUAUGGUAUAACAAACUGGUGUUGCGAUGGCUGAGAAUCUUCUUGACACAGCUGCGAAGGUAAGCAAUGAGUCAAUUUAAUGAUAAUGAGCAUCAUACUAAUAAUUAUAAUAAUGUAAAGCAGUACUUUCUACUUUAAACAAUAUAUUUGGAAUAUUUUUUAUUUGACUGUGUAAAUACAUAGAAAUAAUUUUAUUAAUUCAAGUCUUUACACUUGCAGUUAGUUAAUAAUACACAAUAUAUUUUUUUAUUUUUAACAUACUUAUAUGUUAUAUCGCAAAAUCAAACAAAAAA